GACGAACGCUGGCGGCGUGCUUAACACAUGCAAGUCGAACGCUGACGCUUGGUGCUUGUACUGGGUGGAUGAGCGGCGGACGGGUGAGUAAUACGUGCGUCACCUGCUCUUGAUUCUGGGAUAAGCCUGGGAGACUGGGUCUACUACUGGAUACGACAUGCUACUGCAUGGUGGUGUGUGGAUAGGGUUUUACUGGUUUUGGAUGGGCCCAGGGCCUAUCAGCUUGUUGGUGGGGUAAUGGCCUACCAAGGCGACGACGGGUAGCCGGCCUGAGAGGGUGACCGGCCACACGGGGACUGAGAGACGGCCCAGACGCCUACGUGAGGCAGCAGUGGGGAAUAUUGCACAAUGGGCGGGAGCCGGAUGCAGCGACGCCCCGUGAGGGAUGACGGCCUUCGGGUUGUAAACCGCUUUCAGCACGUAAGAAGCGGGAGUGACGGUACGUGCAGAAGAAGCGCCGGCUAACUACGUG
rnacentral:rRNA from 1 species